GUCCUGCUAGCUCAGUCGGUAGAGCAUCUGACUUUUAAUCAGAGGGUCAGAGGUUCGAAUCCUCUGCAGGACACCA
rnacentral:tRNA from 1 species